UACAGAGGGUGCGAGCGUUAAUCGGAGUGACUGGGCGUAAAGGGCGCGUAGGCGGUUAGAUAAGCUGGUUGUGAAAUACCCGGGCUUAACCUGGGAAAUGCGAUCAGGACUGUUUGACUGGAGUACAGUAGAGGACAGUGGAAUUUCCGGUGUAGCGGUGAAAUGCGUAGAGAUCGGAAGGAACAUCAGUGGCGAAGGCGGCUGUCUGGACUGAAACUGACGCUGAGGCGCGAGAGCGUGGGUAGCAAACAGG
rnacentral:rRNA from 1 species